ACUGAACGCUGGCGGCAUGCUUUACACAUGCAAGUCGAACGGUAACAGGCCGCAAGGUGCUGACGAGUGGCGAACGGGUGAGUAAUGCAUCGGAACGUGCCCCGUCGUGGGGGAUAACGCAGCGAAAGCUGCGCUAAUACCGCAUACGAUCUAUGGAUGAAAGCGGGGGACCGUAAGGCCUCGGGCGAUUGGAGCGGCCGAUGUCAGAUUAGGUAGUUGGUGGGGUAAAGGCUCACCAAGCCAACGAUCUGUAGCUGGUCUGAGAGGACGACCAGCCACACUGGGACUGAGACACGGCCCAGACUCCUACGGGAGGCAGCAGUGGGGAAUUUUGGACAAUGGGCGCAAGCCUGAUCCAGCAAUGCCGCGUGCAGGAAGAAGGCCUUCGGGUUGUAAACUGCUUUUGUACGGAACGAAACGACUCUGGUUAAUACCUGGGGCUAAUGACGGUACCGUAAGAAUAAGCACCGGCUAACUACGUGCCAGCCGCCGCCGUAACAC
rnacentral:rRNA from 1 species